AAGUUCCCUGGCUAUACCACUGAAUGGCGGGAGACAUAGCGAGUUUUGGAGUUCACAUCCCAUCCGAAUUUAUUCUUUAUUAGUAGCUGUAACAGUUGUAUAAAAAAGAGCAAAAUAUAUGACUACAGCAUAGAUACGACAAAGCAUACCAAAGACAGGCCUACAUUGUAACAUGAUUUUGAGACACAUUAGUCGCGCUUUUAAACAACACAGGUCCGUGCACAUUUGAGCGCGUUCCUCCAGCCCCUGCAGCCUACUUCAACACAAGCAUGGCCGCACGGCUCUAAGCAGCAGGUGGGCAAUUAAACAGCCGUUUCGUUUACACUCGCGUCCCUGUAGUUCGUUACAUUUGAAAAUUUCCAGCAAAUCGGGGAGCUGGCACACGCGCACAAAAUAAAACUAAUUACCCUUGAGAAGUUUCACAGAUUGCAUGGGUCGACAAACCUCGACGCGAAACAAAUGGACCGAUUACGUGGCAAGAGCGCUUCUACACGUAUUAUCAGCCAUCUGAUCCACGAGCUGCCCCGGCCAGAGGACCAGGUGGAUCGAAAAGACCCAGGGAAUUAUGCCAAAACUGGAGCCCAUAAAGUUGCCGAAUUAGGAAUGCCCCGCGGUGAUCUGACCCGUUCAGGAGCCGCGCUCCACCCCCGCGAGAACCCGCCGUCCGCCAUCGGCACGGAGACGGAGACGCAGGCUCGCCGCUGAACCUCGCGAUGUCAGGCCGCUCUUCCUCCUCAUCCUCCUCGAGUCCGGCUCGCACAGACCCGAGUGGGAGGAAGACUCCUCGUGCGUUGCUGACAACAAGCAGACCGUGAUCUCCCGAUUGACCCCUAGGGGUCGCUGGUGAGCGAUGGAACAAGGGCAUCCUGGUUGACUGAACCCCUAACUUCCCAGACAAAGGUACAGCAAAUUAAGAAAUACCAAACCCUGGGACUCAUCAACACACUGGAACAGAGCCUUAACAGAUACCAGACUGUGGGACCAAUCCACACACUGUGUAACAGAGAUGUGUGGUGUAUGUAGUCUGUGUAACAGCUGUGUGGUGUACCUAGUCUGUAAAAUAUGAAGUCUUUGUCCAGAGGACCCAGCAUGCAGUGCUCUGGUGCAGCUGAAAUAGAUGCUUGCUCAGUGACCCCUGGGAGCAGGUCUGGUAAAUUGGGUGGGGAAUUGGCGUACCCAAACGGCCCCCGCUCUCUCCCCUUCCUCUCCUCCGUGUUCCCCACCUCUCCUCGCGCGCGCGUUUGGGGAAAUUACCCCUCCGUUCUUCUCCCGGGAGUCUUCCCGCCGAGGUCCGCUCGGCCGCGUCCGCGCUUCUGCAAACGCGAACCGUUAUUGAAAUGCGUCGUGGAACUUUUUUUUUAUCCGUGGAUCGUUUUUUAAAUUAUUUUCGCCCGUGGAAAAUGGCAAAGUUCAGAGUUCUGGGAAGGAGACGUGAGUUGGAAGCUUGCCGUACGCUCCUGUCCCUGUGCGUCGUUAAAUAUUAAUUAAACUUAAAAAAAAAAAAUUUAAUUUAUAAAUAAAUCCAGCGUAAGUCUGCAAGCGUGUCUGGAGAACAGCGAAACUGUAUUUUUAUGAGAUGCGUGGAAUUUGCCGUGCCAGUGGAUAAGGGAGAUGAUGAGUCUUGUGCUCAGAAGGAAUUGGGUGGGACAUUUGAUCUGAUGUGUCUGUACGUGUGGGUAGCAGUUGCCCUUUGUCAGUACAUUUAUAUAUAGAUCAGUGGCAGACCUGAUUCAUCAUGUAAAUGUGUGCACUUCUUCCAAAAUGUAGAAAGAACAUUGGUAGAAACUUUUCGGUUAUAUUCUCAUUUGGUCAAAAUUUGGAGGUUUGACCGCCAGUCAUAAAUAGCACAACAGUAAUUUUGUUCAACCGUUGCUGGAAUGUUUGUUUUUGAAUGAAAAAUAACAUUUAUAGGAACAUCCAGGAAGCUGACUAUAUGGCUGUGCCAAGCUCUCUGUGUGUACACUUGGUAUUCUAAAGACCGGGCAUCUCAAUCUUCAAAUCCUGGAAGGGCCUCAGUGACAGAAAUGCGUGGAGCUACCCAUCUGGUUCGUCUAUAGAGUCUGUGUCCUACCAGACCGUCGCGUUCCUAUUGGCCAAUCCCGGAAUGGUCAGAAUCAAUCUCCUUUUAAAACAGCGAGGCAAACCGAAGAUCAUUGUUCUGGUGACCCUUCAGUGAAGUAUUGAUCUUUCUCUCAGCUGCCCUCGCUGCUCAGGCAGGCUGAUGUUUCCAAAGGUCGACGGUCUUUGUCUGUUCAGACCGUAAUGUAAUGAGAUUUACCAUCUUUAGCAUUUACACCGAAACGCAGGGGUUUUCCCCCCAGUACUGUAUAGUGGUGUUCGUUUCACUAUGCAUCAGAGAGUGUGACAGUUAUUUUAUUGGAAUUGAUGUUGAACGUUUAAUUGAAGUUUUCUAUUUUAGUCCCCAUGCCAAUUAAAAUAAUGUGAUGACGCUAAUGUACAAGCCAUCCUUUUCUACAUAAAUUGAUAAAUCAAUGAGGUGCAUUUGAGAAAUGUGCUUAAAAAUAGACUUAAUUCUGUCCUAAUUCCCCCUAGACACCCUACGUCUUAAAUAAAGUGCUUGCAUCAGUGUUCAGUGAAACCCAAAGUACAAAGUGGUAUUUGCAGUUCUCAACACUGAAGUUGGAACAGAACAAGCUGUCAUUUGCUGUCCAUUAUUCUCAAAGAAAUACGCUUUUUUAUUUAUUUAUUUUUUUGCUGUUUUGCUUCUGUUGAAAGCCUUGUGGUUCAGAUACAGGAAAUGUACAAAAAAAAAGAUCCGCUCUGUCUGUCAAUCUGUCAGUCAGCCGUUUUCAGAGUGAAGAGUAAAAUGAAUAAAAGCAAUGACACGUGAGAAAUAAAAACUAUGAUUAUGAUUGUGCCCCA